rnacentral:rRNA from 1 species
GACGAACGCUGGCGGUCUGCUUAACACAUGCAAGUCGAACGGAAUUCUUCGGGAUUUAGUGGCGGACGGGUGAGUAACACGUGAGAAUCGGCACUCAAGAUGGGGACAACAGCGGGAAACUGCUGCUAAUACUCAAUGUGCCGGUAGGGAAAAGAUUUAUCGCCUGAGAAUGAGCCCGCGGCCGAUUAGUUAGUUGGGGGGGUAAUGGCAUACCAAGACGGCGGUCGGUAGCUGGCAUGAGAGGAUGAGCAGCCACACUGGGACUGAGACACGGCCCAGACUCCUACGGGAGGCAGCAGUGGGGAAUUUUCCGCAAUGGGCGCAAGCCUGACGGAGCAAGACCGCGUGGGGGAGGAAGGCUCUUGGGUUGUAAACCCCUUUUCUCAGGGAAGAAGUUCUGACGGUACCUGAGGAAUCAGCCUCGGCUAACUCCGUGCCAGCCGCCGCCGUAA